CGGGGCGGGCCAUUGUGUCGUAGCAACAAUCGGUGCUGUGACAACCAAUGGCGGAGGCCAGGAGGUAGCGGCCGCUCAGCGUCUGAAGUUACUCAGUGUGGAGUCGGAGCGGUGCCCGAGGCCGAGCCACUCGCCGUUGCCACAGCGAAGGGGUGGACAGCGGGCCCGCAUGAGGGGACUUGUGUGAAUCCGUGGGGUCGUUGGCGCGAUUAGCCCCUUUCGUUUUCAAUAACAUUCGGUCUGACAGCGGAGACAGGGAGUCUACAACUUGGUAUGAUCCAAUAACUGAAACAACAAACUCAUCCCAGUUCCUCGGAUAAUAUAUGCUAUUACAUUUAUCACCAAGCAUAAUCUUAUUUGGUGAAUAAUAAAACCAUGUGGUGUCAGUGAACUGAAA